GUGGGGAAUAUUGCACAAUGGGGGAAACCCUGAUGCAGCGACGCCGCGUGAGUGAAGAAGUAUUUCGGUACGUAAAGCUCUAUCAGCAAGGAAGAAAAUGACGGUACUUGACUAAGAAGCCCCGGCUAACUACGUGCCAGCAGCCGCGGUAAUACGUAGGGGGCAAGCGUUAUCCGGAUUUACUGGGUGUAAAGGGAGCGUAGACGGUAUGGUAAGUCAGAUGUGAAAGCCCGGGGCUCAACCCCGGGACUGCAUUUGAAACUAUCAGACUAGAGUGCAGUAGAGGUAAGUGGAAUUCCUAGUGUAGCGGUGAAAUGCGUAGAUAUUAGGAGGAACACCAGUGGCGAAGGCGGCUUACUGGACUGUAACUGACGUUGAGGCUCGAAAGCGUGGGGAGCAAACAGGAUUAGAUACCCGUGUAGUCC
rnacentral:rRNA from 1 species